rnacentral:ribozyme from 1 species
UUUUUUUUUUUUUUUUUUUUUUUUUUUUGCUCCCCGAAGUCAGUGC